rnacentral:rRNA from 1 species
AAUAGAUACCCGGGUAGUCCACGCCGUAAACGCUGGACACUCGGCUUGUGUGGGCUAUCGACGCCCGUGCGAGCCUCAGCUAACGCGGUAAGUGUCCCGCCUGGGAAGUCCGAGCGCAAGCUUAAAAACUCAAAGGAAUUGACGGGGGCCCGCACAAGCAGCGGAGCGUGUGGUUUAAUUCGACGCAACGCGCCGCACCUCACCCAGCCUUGACAUGGAGCUGCAAGCCGGUGAAAGCCGGUCGCCUACGAGGUGCUCCACAGGUGCUGCAUGGCUGUCGUCAGCUCGUGUCGUGAGAUGUUGGGUUAAGUCCGCAACGAGCGCAACCCCGCGGCUAGUUACAGGUGUCUAGCGGACUGCCCUCGGGAGGAAGCGGGGAUGACGUCAAGUCCGCAUGGCCCUUACGGCUGGGGCGACACACACGCGUACAAUGCCGCCGGCAAUGCGCAGCGCGUCGGCAACGACAAGCCAAUCGCCAAGCGGCGGCCCAGUGCAGAUCGGGGGCUGCAACUCCCG